GCGCGCAGAGAGGAAGGGGAAGCUCCACCUGUACUGGGCGGCUCCCCUCUUGGGGAAUCGAGAACUGCGAGGUCGAAGAAGGAGCACUCCCAUGGCCCCGCUGUGCUGAGGGAGGAGGUGGGGUUUUGCUGGAUGCUGCCAAAUGGGUAGGAUUUGCCUGAAUUGAAAGGAGGGGCCGUUUUCAGGAGGGGUCGUAAGGGACAAGGAGGAGAUAAUCACAAGCUGUCUGCUUUGAACCCCCUUUGCAUUUCCCCAUCUCUUCCUGGGGAGGAAUAUGUGGGUGUGCGCAUCCAACUCUUAUUCCCUUUCUCCGUGGCAGGCCAUCAAAGCCAAAUCCGAACUUGAAUUCUGUGCAGGCGAUUGCAGAGCUGUCUUGACGCCCUGAGGACUGGGAUCUGCAAACCCCACUGGACGGAAGUCAGGGCUGGGAUCUGCAAACCCCACUGGACGGAAGUCAGGGCUGGGAUCUGCAAUCCCCAGUGGACAGAGGUCGACCUACCCCGAAGGCGAGCUUUCCCAUGGAGGGCACCUGUUGCAGAGGCUGGAAAUGAAAUAAAGUCCCUAUUGAGAUACAAGGAAGGCAGAGCCCGGAAACACUGCUUUGGGGAUUCCUCCGACAGAUGAGGCUUUUCUAAAAAGCCUGUGCAUCUUGUUAUAUUCAG
rnacentral:lncRNA from 1 species